AUCUAUAUGACGAGUCACAAAUAAGACUAAACGCGCGUCAUGUAC
rnacentral:hammerhead_ribozyme from 1 species